rnacentral:sRNA from 1 species
AAUCUAAUCAAAUCCACACACCGUGAACUAACCAUGUUGGCCAUCUGGAUUGCUCUUGCAGCCCAGAUUGGGAUGUGUGCUCUGCUGAAAGGCGUGUGCAUGUCUCAGUCGUCGCUAUGUGUGCGUCAGCACACAGCAGUGGCGUCGGUCUCUGCUAACCAACCAACACCAAACCUAUCUUAAUAAUAAAUCGAGGGUUCAGCUUAGAGCUGACUCUCACCAACCAAGACAACUCUCAACAACGGAUAUCUUGGCUCUCAGAUCGAUGAAGAACGCAGCGAAAUGCGAUACGUAGUGUGAAUUGCAGAAAUACGUGAAUCAUCGAAUUUUUGAACGCAAAUUGCGCUCGAGGCUUCGGCCAAGAGCAUGUCUGCCUCAGCGUCGGGUUAAUACUCAUACAUGCAUUUACAUGCACGUGUGGAUCUGGCCGUCUCGGUUCGCGCACUUGUGUGCAAGCCGGGUUGGCUGAAGUGCAGAUGUCGAACCAUGGACCGUUAAUCGGGCCUCUACUGGGUAGGCAACUCGUUUGCUGCAAUGCCUUAGUAGAUGGCUUGGGUACUGUGUUUGGCACAAAGCAGGAGUAUCUGACUAUUCAGGUUCCAACCCUAUUAUUUUCGACCUGAGCUCAGGCAAGA